rnacentral:lncRNA from 1 species
CUCAUGUCUCAUCAGUUCCCACCAAGGACUACAUGUUUCUGCCCUGCAGCAUCACUGAAUUUUCUUGCAAAAUGCUAUUUCUCCAUUAUCUUCCAAUGUUGGUUUUUAUUCUUAACUAUACCGAGAAUACCUUUCUCCACCUCUUCUUUCCCAUGACUACUCUCAUCUCCCACCCUUUCCAAAUAUAGUUCCUAUUCAAUUUUCAAGCCAAAACUCUUUCUACAAAUAUAAGUUAAAAUUUAAAAGAUGCCUUCUAUCUAUUUAAAUAAUUGCAUUUUGGGAUGCCACUAUAGGGAUACAAAAGAAGCAGAAACAGAAACACAUAGAGGAAAAAUAAUUUUUAAUAGAUUUAUAAGAUAUGAAAAUACAAUGGUGAAUGGUUAUUUAUUAUGAAUCAACAAAUGUUGAUUUGUAUUUGUAACAAAAGUUGUUUG